GAAAGGAGACUGAAGAAAAAGGGGUCGCUGCCCCCCAAGUACGCCUUGGAGCUGCUCACCAUCUACGCCUGGGAGCAGGGCAGCGGGGCCACAAGUUUUGACACCGCCCAAGGUUUCCGGACGUCCUGGAGCUGGUCACCCGCUAUCAGCAGCUCUGUGUCUUCUGGACAGUCAACUACAACUUCGAGAAUGAGACUGUGAGGAACUUCCUACUGAAGCAGCUCCAGAGACCCAGGCCGGUCAUCCUGGACCCGGCCGAUCCCACCGGCGACGUGGGCGGAGGGAACCGCUGGUGCUGGCAUCGUCUGGCGAACGAAGCUGCCGAAUGGCUGUCCUCCUCCCUCUGCUUCAAGGAUGGAACUGGAGGUCCCGUCCCGUCGUGGAAAGUGCCGACGGUGCAGACACCGGGAAGCUGUGGGGCUGGUGUCGGUCCUGUCAUCAACGAGAUGUUCUCGUACAGAAGUCGUGGAAUCCUAGACUGAAAAUGCUCGGAGAAACUUCUCGAGGUCACCUGGCAAGUGCUUUUGAAGAAUCAGUUCACUGUGUAAAUGCAUAUCCCAGAUCCCUUCUCCCCACCCCCCACCCCCAAACUCCUUCCCUGGUUUCUUGGACGCCUCUUCAAAUCAAGACUGCCAUGUCCUUCCCAGAAAGUCUCGUACGCUCUCGCCUUGCUGGGCUCUCACUCCAUGAGUGGCCUGCUUUAUUAAAAAUGUUUGCUCUCAUCCGUAUUUUUCCCAUUAGCUCCUCCCUUUUCCUUCAAGUUUUAGAAGAGGAUUCUUUCCAUCUUCUGAGCGCGAAGCCCUUGACCUGCCCCUUGGUUCCCAUAAGUCAGUGAUCUUGCUUUCAUAAUCUCCCACCGCACCCCCCUCCCUCUGGGCUCAAACCCUACCUGUGCCUGCUGAUCCAAGGCCUCCUAAGCCAGUAGUAAAUCAGCCUCUUUAAGACCUUCAAACUCUCCUAAGCCUUGGAUUACAAAUGUUGAAUAUAUUUAUCUCCUGUUUCCUCCUCCUGAGCCUACCUUUAGUCCCGCACCCAUAGUAUCUUUUUGCCAAAUCUAAAGGCUUUAUCCUCUGGCUUUUCCUUCAAAGGUACUUGAAGAUCUAAGUGUUUUAACCUCAUAUGUAUCCUCUGGAAGUCUUAUUACUGUCAUGUAUGCCAACUGCCAUGUAAUAAACAAAAAUGUCUGGCCCUGG